rfam:TPA: Bos taurus chromosome 6, whole genome shotgun sequence.
CCUUGAUAAUUCAGUUGGUAAAGAAUCUGCCUGCAAUGCAGGAGACCUUGGUUCAAUUCCUGGAUCAGGAA